rnacentral:lncRNA from 1 species
GUUUGGCCUCUGAUUUUGUGCCCGGAAUUAUUUGCAGGCGCCAUCAAAGCGGUGCUGUGGGCUCACACAUGGACUGCGUUAUCCCACAGGUUCGCAGCCCGGGGUUGAGCAGCACAGAGAGGGGAGGGGGCAGUUUUUAACCCCCAGUUGGAUUUGCACAUGGCUGUGUGUCUGUCCCAACCCCGCUCUGUGCAGUGCACACGAAGGGGUGUUUGGUUGACCGUCCGCGCUCUGCGCCAUUGGGUCAAGAUGGUGCCCUGGGUUAGGGCCAGAAUUAUGGGUUCAGAGCUCGGGGAUGUGGAAGUCUUCUUGGAUUUCAUGGUGGAGGAGCAUCAGCUCUGUACUGAGCUCCUUGUUGGCAUGUGUGCACCCAACGAGCCCUUGGAUGCUCCUUCAGCAGGGUCUGUGCAGCUGCUGGUGCUCAGAAAAGCCAGAAGAUGUGGCACUCCCCAGAGAGUAAGGAGCAAAUUGCUGGAAGUAUUUAACAUGUGAGAUGUCAUGAGAGGUGGUGGGUCCUGUGGGUGGGACAGCAGCAGGUGGACCCAAAGGUACAGCGGUGUCACUCUGUUAAGCGGUGCCGACCCUUCCAUCCCAACAACCCUAUGGCUCUAUGAUCUUCAAGGACCCUUCCAUCCCAACCAUCCCAUGGUUCUAUGACCUUCAAGGACCCUUCCAUCCCAACCAUCCUAUGGUUCUACGACCUUCAAGAACCCUUCCAUCCCAACCAUCCUAUGGUUCUAUGACCUUCAAGGACCCUUCCAUCCCAACCAUCCCAUGGUUCUAUGAUCUUCUAAGGAAACCUCAGCUCAAUUGCCUCAUUUGGUGGCAUUUCUUCCUUUCCUCUUUUCAUUCCUUUCUUUCCAAAGUGCUGAGCAGUUCCCACCACCCCAACAACCCAACCCCAGGACAUCCACAUCCUGCCCCCCAAAAGCCCCCAAGUGGGGUGGAUGGGAGCAUGAGGAGGUGGGCAGAAGCAGAGGGUUGGGACGCGGUGAGAAAUCCAACCUUUCUCCCAUCUGGUGGCACCUCACUGAACCGAACCAUCCGGGCUUCUUUUCCUUUCUUCUUCUUUUUUUUUUUUUUUUUAAAUUCUCUCCACAUUUUUAAGGUCUGAAAGGAGAGCUGUAAAACCCCCAGCGAGCUGGAAAGGAAACCAAAGUUCUCGAAACUGGUUUGGCAAUGCGUGACCUUCCCAUGAGCAGUUCAU